rnacentral:rRNA from 1 species
GACGAACGCUGGCGGCGUGCUUAACACAUGCAAGUCGAACGGAAAGGCCCUGCUUUUGUGGGGUGCUCGAGUGGCGAACGGGUGAGUAACACGUGAGUAACCUGCCCUUGACUUUGGGAUAACUUCAGGAAACUGGGGCUAUUACCGGAUAGGAGCACCUGAUGCAUGGUGGGGGUUGGAAAGUUUCGGCGGUUGGGGAUGGACUCGCGGCUUAUCAGCUUGUUGGUGGGGUAGUGGCUUACCAAGGCUUGGACGGGUAGCCGGCCUGAGAGGGUGACCGGCCACAUUGGGACUGAGAUACGGACCGGACUCCUACGGGAGGCAGCAGUGGGGAAUAUUGCACAAUGGGCGGAAGCCUGAUGCAGCAACGCCGCGUGCGGGAUGACGGCCUUCGGGGUGUAAACCGCUUUCGCCUGUGACGAAGCGUGAGUGACGGUAAUGGGUAAAGAAGCACCGGCUAACUACGUG